rnacentral:rRNA from 1 species
CCUACGGGAGACAGCAGUGGGGAAUAUUGGGCAAUGGGCGCAAGCCUGACCCAGCAACGCCGCGUGAAGGAAGAAGGCUUUCGGGUUGUAAACUUCUUUUCUGAGGGACGAAGAAAGUGCCGGUACCUCAGGAAUAAGCCACGGCUAACUACGUGCCAGCAGCCGCGGUAAUACGUAGGUGGAAAGCGUUAUCCGGAUUUAGUGGGUGUAAUGGGCGGGUGGGCGGGAAAGCAAGUCAGAUGUGAAAACUCAGGGCUCAACCCUGAGCCUGCAUUUGAAACUGUUUUUCUUGAGUGCUGGGGAGGCAAUCGGAAUUCCGGGUGUAGCGGUGAAAUGCGUAGAUAUACGGAGGAACACCAGUGGCGAAGGCGGAUUGCUGGACAGUAACUGACGCUGAGGCGCGAAAGCGUGGGGAGCAAACAGGAUUAGAUACCCCGGUAGUC